UCCGAUAUGGUGUAGCGGUAACAUUACCGCCUCUCAUUGGGUCAACGACUAUCGUCUGCGCGGUAGCCCGGGGUUCGACCCCCCGUGUCGGAA